CAAGUCGAGAAGGACAUCUUCUUCUUCCUCUCCAGUGGUAACAACAACUUCUUCAAGCCUAACGAUUGGAGCAACCUGAGCUCCUGUAUCUUCGUCUUCACCGGCUGCACUUCUGUUGCCUCUUCCUCUCCCUCCUCUUUGCGCUUGGCCUCGUUACUCGCCAUGAUCACUGCAAAGAACAACAUAACAGAAGUAAUCGGGAAGAGAGAUGCA